rnacentral:rRNA from 1 species
AGAGUUUGAUCCUGGCUCAGGAUGAACGCUGGCGGCGUGCUUAACACAUGCAAGUCGAACGAUCCUUCGGGAUAGUGGCGGACGGGUGAGUAACGCGUGGGAAUCUGCCCUCAGGAGGGGGAUAACGGCUGGAAACGGCCGCUAAUACCCCAUAUGCCGAGAGGUGAAAUGAAUUUCGCCUGAGGAUGAGCCCGCGUCUGAUUAGCUAGUUGGUGGGGUAAAGGCCUACCAAGGCAACGAUCAGUAGCUGGUCUGAGAGGAUGAUCAGCCACACUGGGACUGAGACACGGCCCAGACUCCUACGGGAGGCAGCAGUGGGGUAUUUUCCGCAAUGGGCGAAAGCCUGACGGAGCAACGCCGCGUGAGGGAUGAAGGCCUCUGGGCUGUAAACCUCUUUUCUCAAGGAAGAAGACCUGACGGUACUUGAGGAAUAAGCCACGGCUAAUUCCGUGCCAGCAGCCGCGGUAAUACGGGAGUGGCAAGCGUUAUCCGGAAUUAUUGGGCGUAAAGCGUCCGCAGGCGGCCUUGUAAGUCUGUUGUUAAAGCGUGGAGCUCAACUCCAUUUAAGCAAUGGAAACUACAAGGCUGGAGUGUGGUAGGGGCAGAGGGAAUUCCCGGUGUAGCGGUGAAAUGCGUAGAUAUCGGGAAGAACACCAGUGGCGAAGGCGCUCUGCUGGGCCAUAACUGACGCUCAUGGACGAAAGCCAGGGGAGCGAAAGGGAUUAGAUACCCCUGUAGUCCUGGCCGUAAACGAUGAACACUAGGUGUCGGGGGAAUCGACCCCCUCGGUGUCGUAGCCAACGCGUUAAGUGUUCCGCCUGGGGAGUACGCACGCAAGUGUGAAACUCAAAGGGAAUUGACGGGGGCCCGCACAAGCGGUGGAGUAUGUGGUUUAAUUCGAUGCAACGCGAAGAACCUUACCAGGGUUUGACAUCCUGCGAACCCCUGAGAAAUCGGGGGGUGCCUUCGGGAGCGCAGAGACAGGUGGUGCAUGGCUGUCGUCAGCUCGUGUCGUGAGAUGUUGGGUUAAGUCCCGCAACGAGCGCAACCCACGUCUUUAGUUGCCAGCGUUCAGUUGGGCACUCUAGAGAGACCGCCGGUGAUAAACCGGAGGAAGGUGUGGAUGACGUCAAGUCAUCAUGCCCCUUACAUCCUGGGCUACACACGUACUACAAUGCUACGGACAAAGGGCAGCAAGCUCGCGAGAGUUAGCAAAUCCCAUAAACCGUGGCUCAGUUCAGAUCGUAGGCUGCAACUCGCCUACGUGAAGGAGGAAUCGCUAGUAAUCGCAGGUCAGCAUACUGCGGUGAAUACGUUCCCGGGCCUUGUACACACCGCCCGUCACACCAUGGAAGUUGGCCAUGCCCGAAGUCGUUACUCCAACCCUUGUGGAGGAGGACGCCGAAGGU